rnacentral:rRNA from 1 species
UACAGAGGGGGCGAGCGUUAUUCGGAAUUAUUGGGCGUAAAGGGCGCGUAGGCGGCCUUUCAAGUGACGGGUGAAAUCCCUCGGCUUAACCGAGGAACUGCCUGUCAGACUGGAAGGCUUGAGACCGGGAGAGGUGAGUGGAAUUCCCAGUGUAGCGGUGAAAUGCGUAGAUAUUGGGAGGAACACCAGUGGCGAAGGCGGCUCACUGGACCGGUACUGACGCUGAGGCGCGAAAGCGUGGGGGGCAAACAGG